rnacentral:rRNA from 1 species
CAGCCGCCACGGUAAUACGAAGGGUGCAAGCGUUACUCGGAAUUACUGGGCGUAAAGCGUGCGUAGGUGGUGGUUUAAGUCCGUUGUGAAAGCCCUGGGCUCAACCUGGGAAUUGCAGUGGAUACUGGGUCACUAGAGUGUGUCAGAGGAUGGUGGAAUUCCCGGUGUAGCGGUGAAAUGCGUAGAGAUCGGGAGGAACAUCAGUGGCGAAGGCGGCCAUCUGGGACAACACUGACGCUGAGGCACGAAAGCGUGGGGAGCAAACAGGAUUAGAUACCCGCGUAGUCCCUGUCUCUUAUAC